GUGAAAUAUUUGGUAAUUGAAGGAGAAAAGUUUAGGAGGACCGGGUGGUGUUAUGGUGAAAUUGAUUAGAAGAAGAGGAAGAUCAGACAUUUGGAUAGUAGGGUUUUUUUUUUUAAAAAAAAGAUUCACCUAUUUUUUUCUUUUUAAAAAAUAUCACAUUAGUAUUAGCAUUAGGAAGUGAAAUUAAUUUACUUUAAAAGAUGUUAAGGAUAAAUAAAUAAAAAUUUAGUUUAAAUGGUAAAUUAAGUUGAGCCAACAAAUUAUUAAACAUAUCACGCCCUUGUCAAUUAGCUCUCUCUCACUACCGUCUCUCUUUCUCUCUUUAAACUAGGGUCUCUCUACCCUCUCUUCUCACUGCAACAGUGGUGACGGUGACGGCGAUGGUGGGGUGGUGACAGCGACGGUGAUUUGGUGGUAUUGACGUCGUUUAAGGCAUUGUGCCGUUGGUGUUAUUGGCUUCGUUGAAGGCUUUGUGCCCUUUUUGUUGGUGGUGAAGGCACUGCGACUGUGAGUUCUGCUAUUUUGCCCCAUUAAUUCUGUUUUCGAGUGUCCAUUUAGGUUUUAGGUUUUCCGUUUACUGUCGAGUUCUACUGUUGGUGGUGAAUGUUGUGUGUCUAGUGGAAUGCUGGAAUGUUGAUUGUCUAGUGGUAGAUACAAAUGUGAUUAUUAACUGAAUUUAUUUCCCAGUUGGAGUUAAUAAGUUGACCAAAAAGGAAAGAAAUGAUCUUUUUGAAAUGGAUUGAAAAAGAAAGUAGGACAAAUAAAUUGAGACGAGGUGAGUAUACACAGAGCGAUGUAGAUGUAUAUACGCACUGCAUAUGUGUGUGUAUGUUUGGAGAAUUGACGGAUAGAGAAAAAGAUACCUAGCUGCUUUGGUUGAUUGAUAUGUGUACUUGAUAUUCCUGGAGAAAAGGAGCAUUCCUGUAAUAGUAUAUACAUCAAUAGUUAGUGGUCACGGAACUUUUCUACUCAUUCUGCUGCCAUAGCUAAAUUUGCAGCUUCCUGGUAUCCAUAGUCUUCUAUUGGAGCUUCAAUGAUCUCUUCAAGAGGGCCGUGAGGACUUUCAAAAAUGGUCAGGAACAUUUUCCUAUAGCAUUCCUCACAGAAGAAGAAAUAAGAAAAAUGGCCUUCAUUGGGAAGCUUGUGCACCACCACCCUUGGCAGAAUUCUAGCUACAUAGUCGGUCAUUUGGUGAGGAACAACCUGAUCAUCCAUUCCCUAUUUCAUAAUUCAUAUGCUCAUGAAAUAUAUCCUACACAGUUGAGACAUAGUAGCGACAAUCCUAUCUUUGCACAGGAAAACGUUCUAAAGAAACUCAAUGCAGGAAGAGAUGAGUAACUAAAUGAAACCGAGGAAGCAAGAUUGAGAGUUUGCAAACCUUCCAUAUAUGAACUGACCAUAUAAAUCCAGUCAAUUUACACUUCACUUGACCAUAACCAAACUCACUACGAAGAAAACGAGUGUAGUUUAGCAAAGACUAUGACCUAGGGAGUUGAGCUAUUUUGCAAUCCAAAUUAGCUGGCAAGAAGACAUUGUCUAAUCUUUGCAUUAAAAUAAUAUGAUAGUAUAAUUAAUUGGAACUAUAGGUAAUGUGGUUAAUUGUUGAAAAAAUUGAGCUUUAGUGGUUUGAGUAGGUCUUGAAUAAGAUUGGUUUUGUCAUCCUACAUUGACCAACUAUACAUUGUUCUCCAUGUUUGAUGGUUAAUAUAACCAGUUCUGUGAUUACAUGUCUGUCUCACCGAGGGUCUAUCAGGAACUACCUCUCUACCUCUCAAGAUAGGGUAAGGUCUGCGUAUACUCUAUUUUCCCGAACUCCACUUGAGGGAUUUUGCUGGAUAUGUUGUUGUUUCAUUGUAUUAAGAAAGUAUUGAAAAUGCAAAAUAUUUCUUGGUUCAAGGGAUAGAUGGUUAUAUUUGUUUUUGGUUCUUGAGGUGCUUUAUCAUUAAUAUGGACUGUUUAGCCUGAAAAACUCACUGAUUCCUUUCAAUACAAAUGGGAUAGUUACUAGCUGCCGCCUGCCAAGGAUAGUCAGGAGCUCUUGCCUUUUGCAUGUGAUACUGCCUAUUAUUGCUCCUCUGGUCACAGUUUGGCAAUUCUCCUGGCUCCUAGCCAUUUCAGUAUUUUGUUCCAGUAUCUUUUGAGUUAACAAUCUAUUUGUUACACUUUUUCAUGAAAAGCUAACUCAUGCUCAAGAUUUGGGGAAAUAUUUUUUCAUUUUAUUUCACUUUACAGGACGAAGAGAUCGUAUUUGAACCACUUCUAAAUAUUAACAAUCCGUAUAAUAGCAGUUUGUAUAAUAGCACACUUUUUACUGCACUAACAGCCACUUCUUAUUGCAUCAAGCAAGAUUUUUUUGUGAUAGUGUAUACUGGAUUUAGAUCAAAAUCUAAGUUAACUCACUUGAAUGACUGAAUUUAUUUUGGUUUGGAUUUUUGUCGGAGCUGGAAAAGCUGCAAUUGCUAUAUCGGUGACCUCUGCUCGUUGUAGCUUAAGCUGCAUAGCCUUGUAUCUUGGAGUUUGUUGCCUGUCUUUAUGUGUGAAACCUCAUAGUCAUAUGCCAUCUUCCUUUUCAUAUGUUAACUUGUUGUAGCUUAAGCUGUGUAACAAUUUUCUUGUCACUUCUCUUCUAGGAUGGCAUACAAAACCAGCCGUAGUAUGGCUACUCUUAUCAUGGAUUCUUUUCGAGUAUGAGCUUCAAUUGGUUGGUCAUGUUGCUAUAUAUUAUGAUUUUACUUAUCAAAUAGGUCAUCGCCUUCAGCAUUGGAAUUAAUACACUGCACACUUGAUAUAUAGCUCAUAUGGCCUCUCCGGAUAUCACAAAAAUUCCAACCCAAUACUUGUUGAGGACUCUUACUCUGCGGACCAACUCUUUGCUGGGCAUUAUGUUGCAUUCACAUGUUUAACUUUCUAGUUAUUUUAAACAACAGAACCUCAACAUGCUCGAGGUGUUCCCCUUAAAAAGAUUUGGUGACUACUAGUAUCUCUUUUCUAAAAUUUUGUGGAAAUACUUAAAUGGGGAGCUAGAUGUACCUCUAGCUAAGGUCUUCAAAUAGACGCAUAAGAAGAAAAAGCAGGACGGUACAAGAGAAAAUUGGAUCGAACUGCGUGCUAAGGAGGCAUAUGAUUUUAAAAAGGGGUGGAAAAUUGGCGUAAACUCCAACAUGCUUCAGAGGAGGGUAUCAUGAUUGAUCAUGGUUCAAUCAUCACCUGUAGAUAUGGCUAAAAUAUGGACAGCUGUGGUAGGUGGUCCAAAGAAAGGUAAAAUCUACGGGCUUGGAGUUCACCAAUUCUCGAGUGAUCAUUCCCCAAUGUUGCCCAACUCCUCUUCUACCUUGGAAAAUAUGGAAGAAAUUGAAGAGAUGAAAAAGUAAAUUGAAGUGUUGACGCAACAGUGUGCAGUUAAUGAUGCUAAGUUUGUCAAGUUUGCUAAGUUUGAGGAGUUAGUCAAGAAGCACAUGCUUCAAGUAUUUGAUGAUGAGGAAGACAAUGAAUCAGAUGAUUAGAUUGUAGUUGUUGGUUCUUGUUUUUUAUUUAGACUUAAAGUUCUUUUGAGGUGUUUAAACUAUUUGAAUCGGUGUUCGUUUUGGAUUGUGACGUUUAGACUUAAGCUUAUCUUGAAAUGUUUAAACUAUUUGACUCGCUGUUUGUUUUAGAUGUUUCAAAGUAAUUGAAUUUUCAAAUUUUGGUUC